GACAGAGGGUGCAAACGUUGUUCGGAAUUACUGGGCGUAAAGCGCGUGUAGGCGGCUGCGUGUGUCGGGCGUGAAAUCCCAUGGCUCAACCAUGGAAGUGCACCCGAAACUGCGUAGCUAGAGUCCUGGAGAGGAAGGUGGAAUGCUUGGUGUAGAGGUGAAAUUCGUAGAUAUCAAGCGGAACACCGGUGGCGAAGGCGGCCUUCUGGACAGUGACUGACACUGAGACGCGAAAGCGUGGGGAGCAAACAGG
rnacentral:rRNA from 1 species